rnacentral:rRNA from 1 species
GUGGGGGAUAUUGCACAAUGGGGGAAACCCUGAUGCAGCGACGCCGCGUGGAGGAAGAAGGUUUUCGGAUUGUAAACUCCUGUCGUUAGGGACGAUAAUGACGGUACCUAACAAGAAAGCACCGGCUAACUACGUGCCAGCAGCCGCGGUAAAACGUAGGGUGCAAGCGUUGUCCGGAAUUACUGGGUGUAAAGGGAGCGCAGGCGGACCGGCAAGUUGGAAGUGAAAACUAUGGGCUCAACCCAUAAAUUGCUUUCAAAACUGCUGGCCUUGAGUAGUGCAGAGGUAGGUGGAAUUCCCGGUGUAGCGGUGGAAUGCGUAGAUAUCGGGAGGAACACCAGUGGCGAAGGCGACCUACUGGGCACCAACUGACGCUGAGGCUCGAAAGCAUGGGUAGCAAACAGGAUUAGAAACCCGUGUAGUCC